UACGUAGGCAGCAAGCGUUGUUCGGAGUUACUGGGCGUAAAGAGUAUGUAGGCGGUUGGGUAAGUUUGGUGUGAAAUCUCCCGGCUUAACUGGGAGGGUGCGCUAAAGACUGCCUGGCUUGAGUGUGGGAGAGGAAAGCGGAAUUCCUGGUGUAGCGGUGAAAUGCGUAGAUAUCAGGAGGAACACCUGCGGUGUAGACGGCUUUCUGGACCAUAACUGACGCUGAGAUACGAAAGCGUGGGUAGCAAAC
rnacentral:rRNA from 1 species